UUGACGGAGAGUUUGAUCCUGGCUCAGGACGAACGCUGGCGGCGUGCUUAACACAUGCAAGUCGAACGAGAUCCAUGAUGUAGCAAUACAUCGGAAGAUCUAGUGGCGAACGGGUGAGGAUCACGUGAGAAACCUGCCCCAGACUCUGGGAUAACAAUUGGAAACGAUUGCUAAUACCGGAUGACGUCG
rnacentral:rRNA from 1 species